UACGAAGGGUGCUAGCGUUGUUCGGAAUUACUGGGCGUAAAGAGCGCGUAGGCGGUUAUACAAGUCAGGGGUGAAAUCCCAGAGCUUAACUCUGGAACUGCCUUUGAAACUGUAUAGCUGGAGUGUGUGAGGGGAUAGCGGAAUUCUUAAUGUAGAGGUGAAAUUCGUAGAUAUUAAGAGGAACACCGGUGGCGAAGGCGGCUAUCUGGCACACAACUGACGCUGAGG
rnacentral:rRNA from 1 species